rnacentral:snoRNA from 11 species
GCAGCAAUGAUGAUUGGCGCAGGGGUACGGACCUCAGCUAGAUCAUGGGAGCUGAGUGUGAGUUUUCAGUGUCUGGCGUCGCUCGCAUGUGGCUUGCUUCCUGGACAGUGGCUCACACGAGAAUGUUGCCUUAUGCUGAGCUGC